UUAAAUUGAAGAGUUUGAUCAUGGCUCAGAUUGAACGCUGGCGGCAGGCCUAACACAUGCAAGUCGAACGGUAACAGGAAACAGCUUGCUGCUUCGCUGACGAGUGGCGGACGGGUGAGUAAUGUCUGGGAAACUGCCUGAUGGAGGGGGAUAACUACUGGAAACGGUAGCUAAUACCGCAUAACGUCGCAAGACCAAAGAGGGGGACCUUCGGGCCUCUUGCCAUCGGAUGUGCCCAGAUGGGAUUAGCUUGUUGGUGGGGUAACGGCUCACCAAGGCGACGAUCCC
rnacentral:rRNA from 1 species